rnacentral:rRNA from 1 species
AGUGAACGCUGGCGGUAGGCCUAACACAUGCAAGCCGAACGGCAGCACAGUAAGAGCUUGCUCUUACGGGUGGCGAGUGGCGGACGGGUGAGGAAUACAUCGGAAUCUACUUUUUCGUGGGGGAUAACGUAGGGAAACUUACGCUAAUACCGCAUACGACCUACGGGUGAAAGCAGGGGAUCUUCGGACCUUGCGCGAUUGAAUGAGCCGAUGUCGGAUUAGCUAGUUGGCGGGGUAAGGCCCACCAAGGCGACGAUCCGUAGCUGGUCUGAGAGGAUGAUCAGCCACACUGGAACUGAGACACGGUCCAGACUCCUACGGGAGGCAGCAGUGGGGAAUAUUGGACAAUGGGCGCAAGCCUGAUCCAGCCAUACCGCGUGGGUGAAGAAGGCCUUCGGGUUGUAAAGCCCUUUUGUUGGGAAAGAAAAGCAGCAGGUUAAUACCCCGCUGUUCUGACGGUACCCAAAGAAUAAGCACCGGCUAACUUCGUG